rnacentral:rRNA from 1 species
UACGUAUGGAGCAAGCGUUAUCCGGAUUUACUGGGUGUAAAGGGAGUGUAGGCGGCCAGAUAAGUCUGAUGUGAAAACCCGGGGCUCAACUCCGGGAUUGCAUUGGAAACUGUAAGGCUAGAGUGUCGGAGAGGUAAGUGGAAUUCCUAGUGUAGCGGUGAAAUGCGUAGAUAUUAGGAGGAACACCAGUGGCGAAGGCGGCUUACUGGACGAUAACUGACGCUGAGGCUCGAAAGCGUGGGGAG